GCGAGAGUGGUGAAAUUGGUAGACACGCUAGACUUAGGAUCUAGUGCCUCCGGCGUAAGGGUUCAAAUCCCUUCUCUCGCA
rfam:Treponema caldarium DSM 7334, complete genome.